rnacentral:rRNA from 1 species
AUUGAACGCUGGCGGCAUGCCUUACACAUGCAAGUCGAACGGUAACAGGUCUUCGGAGGCUGACGCGCGGCGGACGGGCGAGUAAUACAUCGGAACGUGCCCGAUCGUGGGGGAUAACGAGGCUAAAGCUUAGCUAAUACCGCAUACGAUCGACGGAUCAAAUCGGGGGAGCUUCGGACCUCGCGUGGACGGAGCGGGCGGUGGCCGUUUAGGUAGUUCGUGGGAGUAACGCUUUCCACGCCGACGGUCUGUACGUGGUCUGGGCGGCGGAUCAGCCACACUUGGACUGAGACACGGCCCUGGCUCCUACGGGAGGCCGCAGUGGGGAACUUUGGGCAAUAGGCGAAAGCCUUAUCCAGCCAUGCCGCGUGCAAGAUGGAGGCCUUCGGGUUGUAAACUGCUUUUGUACGGAACGAAAAGCCUCUUUCUAAUAAAGAGGGGUCAUGACGGUACCGUAAGAAUAAGCACCGGCUAACUACGUG